rnacentral:lncRNA from 1 species
GGAACUCUUCAGCACAAACAUGCUCUCCUUUAUUUCAGACAUCCUCAUUUCAUGACGGCUCUACUCCGCUGAGACCUUGCCAUUUAGAUCAAUAUUCUUCUUCUCCAAAUCACUGAGUUGAGUAAAAGAGUGGGCAACAACAGACGAGUUCUGAAUGGCCUAAAUAGGAAAAAUACUCAUUUUUUAAGCAAGGUGAAAACCGCUUCCUUUUACUUCUCCAAGGAAAGAUUGAGAAAGUGCCAAGAUCACUAGCUUGAUAUAUAUGAUCAACAAUCUUGACGCAAGCAGAUGGGCUUGAUAGAAAGUUCGUCUUGAGCAUAUCAGACACAUAUAUAUCCCUUGCGGAGUUGGACUUGUCAACCAUGGGCCCAUGUAUUCGCAUUUCCAAAGAACCCUUCGCUAGAGUAGAUGACUCUUUGACCUUCUUAGCUGCCGUCAUUCUCACCUCUAAAGGAGUCAACGAUGC